rnacentral:lncRNA from 1 species
AGAAAAAGCAGAUAUUAGAACACAGGCACAGUAACAAAGUGAAUAAUACCAAAUGAGAUGAAAUCAAAGAAGAAAGUCAAAGAUUAGUGUGUGUCUCUCUCUAUGAUCCACCAUUCCCAUCACAAGCUUGUAAAUUGGAAAAUUAAUACAAGAGAGAAGAAUCAGAGUAAAACAAACUGAAAAAAAAGUUACUAAAAAAUGAAAAUGAUAAAUGAUGUAAAGUUGGCUUCUUGAAUUCAUAGAUGACAAGACCAGCAAAUUACUUAACAUUUCCUCCUUUGGUGUCCUGGGAUCAAAGACUGGAGUGGAUUGGAAUCAAAGUUGGUUGAAAUGGCUCUCAGCUUCUCUGCUCACCAUUAAAGUAGGAUUUGGAACAUUUAGAAGAUGUUCAUCAUUCUUGGUUUUGGAUCCCUCCAGAGGAGCUGGGUCACAGAAGACACUCUCCAAGAUGCUAUGGAUCUUCCACCAGCUGAUUCUGGUUUGUCAUCUCAGGAGCCUGUGACUGACUAACAGGAGGUGUCAUGUCAUGUCUGUUGGUUGUUUUUAUUGUAUGCAUGAGUUCAAGAUGAGCUCUGCUCUAGGCCUGUGAUUGCCAAGAAGCAUCCUGUACUUGCUCUCCUCUUCAGUGGUAGAGAAAUCACCUGGUAUAUGUGAGGCACUGAGUUCAAUUCUUAGCACCACAUAAAAAUAUAUAAAAUAACGGUAUUGUGUGCACCUAAACUAACUCUCUCUCUCUCUUUA